rnacentral:rRNA from 1 species
CCUACGGGUGGCAGCAGUGGGGAAUCUUCCGCAAUGGGCGAAAGCCUGACGGAGCAACGCCGCGUGAUCGAAUGAAGGCCUUCGGGUUGUAAACCUCUUUUGCCGGGGAGCAAGGGCCGGGACGCGUCCCGGCCCGGAGAGUACCCGGAGAAAAAGCAUCGGCUAACUCCGUGCCAGCAGCCGCGGUAAUACGGAGGAUGCGAGCGUUAUCCGGAUUUAUUGGGUUUAAAGGGUGCGUAGGCGGGCUUUUAAGUCAGCGGUAAAAAUUCGGGGCUCAACCCCGUCCGGCCGUUGAAACUGGGGGCCUUGAGUGGGCGAGAAGAAGGCGGAAUGCGUGGUGUAGCGGUGAAAUGCAUAGAUAUCACGCAGAACCCCGAUUGCGAAGGCAGCCUUCCGGCGCCCUACUGACGCUGAGGCACGAAAGUGCGGGGAUCGAACAGGAUUAGAUACCCGUGUAGUC